GGCCACUUUAGUCAAGAAAGGAUCACCCAGGGCAUAUUGCAUAACCCUCUCAGAAUCUUGCUUUUUGCGGGAUGCUUUGAUGGAGAGAGGGGUAUGGAGGAUGAAGAUCACUUCCAGGCUAGAACAAGGAGCCCUAUUGUUUGCCCAGCUCUGUGUUGGUUUUUGUUUUCUCUCAUUCAUUACAGCAUGAUCAGAUCACAGCUGGCCUAAGGAUAUGCUUUCCAGUAUGUUUAAGAUUUGGAACAGUCCCAGGUUUCAGGAACACAUGGCAGGGAAGAGAGGGCAUCUGUGAUACUGAGUGGAAAGCAAAUUUCUGCUUUUCUUCAGACUGAAUUCUCCUUCAGGAAGAACGAGAUUCUGAUUGGCUGGCGGUCCUAGUCAGUGAAAAAAGGACAGUUAACUGUCAAGUGUGGAGAAAGAACACCAUUGGGAAAGUCAGUUGAUGAUGGCUAAGACCAGUAAAAGCUGAGGCAAAGUGGGAUAGCUGAGGUCUAAGCUGGUCCUGCCCAGUGUGAUAACUAUACUUUGCUGGUCAGUAUCAAAGGAAGGGAGCCAGAGGCUGUAUUAGACUAACAGGCUGUCGAUGUGUAAAGCUAAACUGUCCAGGCAGUCCUAAGUACACCUGGAGGAAAUUUGGUGUCAGAAGCAGAUUGUAUCCAGUUACUGGACCGAGUUUUGAGUGAAUUUGGCUGGGUUAGAGCUUUAGGUAAUUGGACCUGAAAUAAAUGCCUCUGAUAGGCAGGUUUCAGCAACCAAAUCUAUUGAGUGCUUAGAAAUGAUAAUCAAGACCCUAUAGUAAACGUCAGUACUUUAAUGUACAAAAUAUCCCUUUAAUGAACCAUCUUAGCUAAUAGUUCAUUCUUUCUCCAGUGUGGGAGUCAAUCUCACACCUAAACCUAUUAUACUAAGCUACUGGGAGGUUCUAAAAGCAUUCUAAGGGAAUGGGUCACAGCAAAACAAAACAAAAAAAGUCACCACAGAAUUCUGAGUUAUUGUAGCAAGGAGUUCCAUAGAACUUGAACAAUAAAAAUUAAAGAAGCACUAAUAUCUAAAUGUGUAUUUAUACAACGUGGGACUGAGGAAACAUUUCCCCAUGGGCCUUUAAAAGGCUUAGUAAAGAGUUGCCAGGAGAAACACACCUGGCCAAUUGUGCUCAACAAAAAGUGGGGAAAUGGGAAAAAGAACUUCCUUUCUUUCUAAUUUUCCCUAAUCCUAAAUAGUGUCAUAAAAAAUAGAAAAGUUAUACCCAUAUAGCCAGUCUCUUGCUUGACUAUUGCUGAGUUAGUUUCUCCUGGACCUAUUUACUGCUGAGAGGGGAUUCCUUUUUGGCAUAUGGUUUCUGAAAUAUAAACAGAGCAGCAAAGAAUGCCUGGGGUGAGAGGGUAGAGAGAGGCACGAGGCAGGGAGGUGCUGGUACAGAAGAAAUUCACCCUACCUGCAAUUUGCUUGCUGGAGUUUAUAUCUCCAAUUGGAAAAUCACAAGCUGCCAAAAGAAAAGAAAAAAGGAAAGAAAAUAAUGUCGUGGUGGUAUCCUUUAUUGGGCAAACUUGAAUUGCUUAAAUGAAACAAAUGAAGUUUUUAAACUCCACCAAAACUCUUUGUCUAGGAUAAAUUGUUAAGAGUAAAACUAAAAGUUCUUUGAGUUUCAAAAAGUCAGAAAUGGUAGUGUUACUUGAUUGUUCUGAGAGCAAAGGGUGAACAUUAGGCUAAGAAGUUAAGAAGAGCCCUGCUGGAUUAGACUAAAGCCCCAUCUAGUCCAGCAUUCUGUUCUCACCGUGGCCAACCAGAUGCCCAGGGGCAUGCAACAGCCUUCUCCUGCUGGUGUUCUCUAUCAACUAAUAUUUAGAGGCAUAUUGCCUGAUACCUUCUGAUAGAUUAAUGCUUGCCCAAUCCCCUUUGAAAGCCGUCCAAGUUGGCAAUCAUCACUAUAUCUUGGUAAAGCUUCCUCCAGAAUUUAACAUGUCUUGCACAAGGAAGUACUUCCUUUUGUCUAUCCUGAAAGUUCAAGUAAUACAAGAGAGGUAGAAAUUAUUAUUAUGUGCACCAUUCACACCAGCGCUCCAUGACCACUGAGAGCAUUCCUUAUUAGGCUGUUUUAGAAUCUCCCACAACCCCUUUGGAAGGUUUUCCCCCUUAAAUACUUUUUGUACAUCUGCAAACCUUGGGGUUUCCCUAAGCAUGGUGCUACCUCCCUCUAGUUUGUGGGUCAUGUCAUUUUGAGUCCAUAUGCAUACACACUCAAAGAAUUGAGUACCUUUAUUAGUGUAUAUUAUGACAGAAGUGGCAAAAAAACAGAGCAUCUUCCCCCAUCUCCUCAAACAUAUUGUGGGGUGCGUAUUUUGUGGAGAAAUAUUGUAUGGUGGGUGAAAUUUAGUCAGACCAUACACAGAAAUCCCUGAACUCACUUAAGAGCUAUUUGCAGCGAGCCCAGAUAAAUGAAGUUACAGGUAGGUAGCCGUGUUGGUCUGCCGUAGUCGAAACAAAAUAAAAAAAUUCCUUCCAGUAGCACCUUAGAGACCAUCUAAGUUUGUUAUUGGUAUGAGCUUUUGUGUGCGUGCACACUUCUUCAGAUACCGCUACUGAAGAAGUGUGCAUGCACACGAAAGCUCAUACCAAUAACAAACUUAGUUGGUCUCUAAGGUGCUACUGGAAGGAAUUUUUUUAUUUAUUUCAGAUAAAUGAAGUUAGCUUCCAGGGCUGGUAUUAUACAGGACUACACUUGAAGUUCAAAUAAGAAGUUGCUCUCACUGAAAAGCCUUCAGGUUUCAAAAGGAGGCACAGAUGCUUAUUAGUUCUUUGAAACAUAACAUUCGUUCAACAUGAAAAGUUCACAAGGCUGUUUCAGCCUUCUAAAACCCAUAAACCUGAUCAGUAUAUUUAUACCUCUGCAAACAGUGGCCUUGUUUAUGUCAAAAAGUCCAAGGUUAUCCUGAUUUUACUAUUUUUAAUUUAGCUAGGAAUAAGCAGAGGAGGAGGACUUAAUUGCAAACAGACUGAACUUUAUAUAGGAAAUGUGUAUGCCCCUUGGGGGCACCUAGAAAGUGAAGGCCUGAAAUUAAAACCAUAUUCCUUUCUCCCUCACUCCCUAAAGCAUGUAAGCCUUGAAUAAUGGAUUGCUGUUUGCCAGCAUUAUGUCCUGGUGGUUCUUCCUGCUCACUGUAACACUGGUCCCAUUACUGCUGGGUUAUUAGAUGGUUCACAAUCAGUACUACUUUUCUAGAAAAAUAGGUGCCGUUUCUCACCAUGAAGUUGUUACACUUUUUAACAAUGAAAAAGGAGGUGCCGGUACUGCAUACUCCAGAGUACCCCCUGGAGAGAAAAAAAGCACUGGUCACAACAUGUUUAGAACCUAAAGAGUGUUCAAGAAAACUAUAGAAAACUAGCAACCUUGUACCCAGCAUUUCCCGGGAAUUCUAUGAAACCAAAAAUUCAGUGUAAUUCUGAAACCAAUGGUUCAUUCCAGUUGUGAAAGAUUCAGACUGCCAUCUUGAUUCAAAAUAGCACCCAAUUGUAUCCAAACAUAGAGGAAAAACCUGCAUCUUGAUCUCAGGAACCAUCAUGAAAAGCUUGGUUACGAUCUCUAAGGUGUCCAAAUGCAUAGUGGCUGGACAAACAAGCUUUCCAAAAUAUAUAAUAGAUAUAUUUUAAAAGUUCAAAGACAAAUUACAAACUGAAGUGCAAUAUAUCUUACUGAUAUCCCAAAGUUGGGCUAGUUGUCUGAGUUUGGCAUGUGAAAUUCACACACACACACACCCCAUCUCACUGAAUUUGUGCCUUUGCCUCUCCACUCCCAAUUCUUUCCAUCUGCACACAACCCUCGUGAUUGCCAAGCUGUAUAUGAGGCUUUAUAUAGUUAAAGCUAUGGUUUUCCCGGUAGUGAUGUAUGGAAGUGAGAGCUGGACCAUAAAGAAGGCUGAUCGCCGAAGAAUUGAUGCUUUUGAAUUAUGGUGCUGGAGGAGACUCUUGAGAGUCCCAUGGACUGCAAGAAGAUCAAACCUAUCCAUUCUUAAGGAAAUCAGCCCUGAGUGCUCACUGGAAGGACAGAUCCUGAAGCUGAGACUCCAAUACUUUGGCCACCUCAUGAGAAGAGAAGACUCCCUGGAAAAGACCCUGAUGCUGGGAAAGAUGGAGGGCACAAGAAGAAGGGGACGACAGAGGACGAGAUGGCUGGACAGUGUUCUUGAAGCUACCAGCAUGAGCCUGACCAAACUGCAGGAGGCAGUGGAAGACAGAAGUGCCUGGCGUGCUCUGGUCCAUGGGGUCAUGAAGAGUCAGACACGACGAAACGACUAAACAACAACAUAGGAGGCUUUCCCCUGGCUCACUGUCUUCUUGGUGUCUCUUUCAUUUUGCUUGCUCCCUCUUCAGGUUUCUUGUUGGCCCCUUUCCUAACUCCCUGUUCCCUACUCCUUCAACCCCAGUGGGUCCUGCCUCAACUAUCUCUGCAGCCCUCCCUCCCCUUUUUUGCAUACUUUUCCAUCAAUAGGAUACUCUCCAAGUAUUCAGUCUGGUGGGGGGCAGCAGUUUAAAGAGAAAGUAUCUAGCUACCUAUUAAAAAAAGGAAGGUGGGGAAGCCCAGAGAAGGCUCUCUGAUGAAGACAUUAGUAUAUGGACAGGCACAUAUGGAGAGAGACCAUGCUAUAAAGCUUCCCUCCCCAUUCCUUCUGCCUUAGCCACAUUCGAGGGUGAACCUUACUUUCCCUGUCCACCUUCUACCAGGAAGACUCCCGCUCCAUACCCUAAUAGCCACAUACUCAGGCCCCCCGGCUUAUGUCUUUGCAAUUGGUCAUUUUGUUCAGUCAGCUUUGGAAUGUUUCAGUAUGGCUAGGCAUCUACGAUCUUUCACAGCAUCUGCAUUUGUUCAAUUGAAGGUGGAAUUGACUGGCCUGCCCUCACAGAUGCACUGAUCUUGAUGUGCGCCUCUGAUGUUGAACUGUGUUGAACUGACGUCAAGUGUGCAUUUUUAAAAUAUUUGUUUCUCCAGCUACCAAAAUCACACACAGAAAACAAAGCAAAAGCAAAAGGCAAAUAAUACUCUAAAAACCCAUAGGAGAUUUGAAAAGGUUGAUACUGAGGUUUUAAACAAUAUUUGUUGGUCUUAAUGGUUUAUUGCAAUCUGCUGUGGGAUUUAUAUUGAAAUUAAGAGUGGUCUGUAAUUUAUAUAAUUAGCAAAUAAUACUUUCCUCCCAUUCUUUUAUGGUCUUUCGGUGCCCUGUCCCAUGAGGGUAUGUGCUUCAUCUUGGAAAACUUUAUAGUGACAUUUGUGCUAAACUAGGCUCCAUACUUCCAAAAGUCAGUCAGUUACAUCUCUAGAAUAAUAGUUUUGCAUUCAAUAUCAUGUCAGAGUAUGAUCUGGAAACUUCAGAGAAGGACAUUAUGAUCUCUUCUCCUUUAUACCAAGUUUUAUUUCCAUUCUCCCUUCCACAUGCUAAACUUUGUUGUGCUCCUGGGUCCCAUAUUCCUUACUGCCUGUUCUGUUUCUACAUUCUUAUUUUGUAUGUUAGUUUCUGGAUUUUAAACAAUCUGAGGAGUUGAUGCAGAACACCAGAGACUUUUUGAUUUAUUGCUUGUACUCAAAAAGUACUUAUUUUCUCUUCAGUUGGGGGACAGGGGAGAUAAAGAUAGAUGAAGAGCCUAGGGAGCAGAAAAGCAGCCAGAGAAGAUUAGAUUCAGUGUUGCUUGGCAUGCCCAACAUACUUUCUAGUUACAAUAACAGUGACAUUAUUUCCCUUUACGUGCAGCAAGCUUACAUUUGUUUUGUACUGACGCUUCUGCACAUCACCAUACUACAUAUUCCAUGUCUUUUAGGGCUUCUAAUAGCUGCUAAUCAAUUUGUACUUUAUCAUAUUAUUGCAAAUGAUGGGUGGUGAGGAGAAAAAGGUAAACAAACCCAGUUAUAAAUCAGGUUUCUGCUUCAUAUAUACUACUGUUUCAAAUGUGUUGUUGUCUUUAGAAGUAUACCCAACAUGGUACAGCUAUUUUUCUUCAGUAGUAAGCACUCCUUAUUGAAUAUUCAAGUGAUGCUCCAACAUUUAGCAGUGGUUAAUACUUUUUCUUACUCUACAGUAAGGAUGGGACAGGAAAAUAUUACUAUUCCUUCUCUCCAUCUGGACUUACAAGCAGCAAUGCCCCCUUCACACUUCUCUAAUACUGUAUGGAAUCUGCUUUCCUGUAGUGUAUGUGUGCGACCCCAAGUAGGUAGGGGGCACCAAUUGUACAUGUCCUUUCAACCAGAUAAGUAAUUGGGUGGGAAAGACCACAUGAUUGGCCCCACCCAAGUGGUUGCAGUAUCAACGCACAUACUGCAGCAGCAUGGGAGUAAUUACAGCCCAGAAAAGUAGUGUAUAUGAGAAGCUGGCUGCUGUAGAGUGACCGUUACCAAUAGCCAAUCUAUCUUGUGGCACACUUUGUUGGUAAAUUGUAAAUUGGCUGUUUGGGUUGAUCAUGUGCAGAACUUGGUGGAAGAGAAUGAGGGAGAAGCAGCCUAGGAGAAUGGUUUUUGAGAAUGCUUGAUGUGCCACUUGACUGCCAUCUCUAUGAAUGCACAGGGAAUGUUUAGAAGAAUAAAAGGUACAGGUACCUCACAUUUUUUUCUGCAAUUAAUUUAAAUCUUGAAACAACAACAAAAAAGAAAAUUUAGUAUUUACAUUUUUUAAAACAACAACAACCACCAGUUAAUAAGAGACGAGCGAAAAGCCCUUCACAUAACCUUUUUCCCUUGAAAGCAGAGGCUCCAGAAGGAAAUGCUUCAUGAAACUACCCCCUCAUCUGGGGGCAUGGGUUGCCUCAGCACUAAUAACUGGCAUAAGCUUCCCUUCAGUUAUACAGUUUAGUUGAGUAUGCAGUAGCAAACAAGAGGAAGCAUUGGUCAAACUGCGGGUUGCACAUAACAGGGCCAGAUGCCAAGAGCCUUAGGAAAAGGCAGCGAGGGGAGGUGAUUAGCCUGCUUGCUUUUCUAUAUAAAACUGACCUUUUUGAGGAAGUCUUGGUCUUGGCCUCUGUAGCAUAUGAGUACGUGCAAAAGAACCUCACUUCUCCAACUCUUAAAAUGGCAGAACUGCCACCAAUACCGGUGUUGGCAAAAAAAAAUUUAAAAAAUGGGGAGGGGAAAUUGAGGGAAGAAAAAAAUACAAUUUUCAAAAAUGCUUGCCACUUGGAAAACUCUAUUUGGGAGGAAAUUAUAAUUGUAUCCAAAUAGCUAGUGCUGGCAACAGAGAUAAUUUAAAGAUAUGAUCCUAAGAAUAUAAAAAAGAGCCCUGCCGCAUCAACCAAAGACCCAUCUAGUGUCUUCUUCUUUGGCAAUCACUUGUAGCCAAGUAAGAUUGUCUUCCAUAAACACGGUUUUAACAGUGAGUCCAUGAGUCACUGUGGAGGCCAAUUCUAGAUCUGCACGCCCUUCCACAGUGGGGACAUAGGUUUCUGGGCAGGAGUUGAUCGUGGUGAGGGUUUGCCAAGCAUGCCUUCCUCUUAGCUCGUUUCUCCCUUUCGUCGAGUUCGAGCAUCUUCAAAGCCCAUGACACCUUUGGUAAAGGCUAUUCUCCAAUUGGAGCAAUCGCAGGCCAGUGUUUCUCAGUUGUUGGUGUUUAUACUACAUUUUUAAAAAUUUGCCUUGAGAGAGUCUUUAAACCUCUUUUGUUGACCACCAACAUUACACUUUCCAUUUUUAAGUUUGGAAUAGAGUAGUUGCUUUGGCAGACAAUUAUCAGGCAUCUGUACAAACUCAUCAAAAAAAAUCUGGGAGAGAGAGGAGAGCCAGCAGACUUUAGGGAUGCCAAAAUUAUCAAUCUCUUAAAACAAAAGGUGACAGAACCAAUUAGAGAAACUAUCGAGGCACCUCUCUAUUAGCUGCAGCCGGCAAAAUUCUUGCAAGGAUCUUAGCAAACCGUCUCUCAACAAUAUCCAAGGCGACCCUUCCUGAAUCCCAAAAUGGUUUUAGACCUUCUAGGGGAACAGUGGACAUGAUUUUUUCCACUGGACAGCUUAAAAAAAAAACGCAGAGAGCAAAACCAACCCCUGUAUAUGGCAUUUAUUGAUCUGACUAAGGCCUUUGACACUAAAUCUAGUCUAGCCUCCUGUUCUCACCAUGGCCAACCCAGAUGCCAAGCGGAAUUGCUUUUAAAGCUGUCCAAGUUGGUAACUAUCCUGUGGUAAUGAACACCACCAUUUUCAAUCCCCGACAUGGAAUUCACCUUCUUCACAGCUGCUUUGCACUGGGUAGACAUCACGUGUAUAUUUUCAUUAUACAAUUUGAGUUGUACAAUAGCAACAUUACAAAUUAAAAAACUAGAACACAUAUCCAUCAGUGAAUUUGUGCACAAUCCAGCAGUGCCAGGCUUUGCAUCUACAGCCAGCACGAAAGCCCAGAGAUUUUGAACUACUCUGCAGAUUACUAACUUGCUAACUUAUUAAUUUACUAACUUAAUGCUUACUUUGAGCUAGGGCUGAGCCUCAGAUCUUAUUUUAGAUGCCUGGACUCAUCCCUGGAACAUGUGAACUAGUAAAAUGCCUCUAGGUGUCUGUAGGGUACCUUUCCCUCACCAUGAGGUGAUCACAGCCAGCAACCACACACCUGGAAUUUGGCAGCAUGGAAUCCAGGUGAAUGGCUUCCAGGCAGGAUUCAGCAUUGGUACCUCUCAGUUCUUAAAUUGAGCCUCUGGGCAUAUUAGCCUGUCAGUGAUAACAAAAGGGAUCAUGCAGCUGUAGCAAGAAUUCCAGAAAAAAAACCAAGAUGAUAGCUCCAUGGAAAGAAACUUAUGCCACAUUUUAAGGAUAACUUUCUCGGAAAUAUAACUCAAAACAGCCAAAGAGUUUCAUUUAUAAGUCCAUUUAAUUCAAGGUAAUUGGAAUCUGGUUUCUCUGAAGGCCGUUCAAAAAUUACAGCGAGAGCAAUCUCAGAGUGGGUUUCUUAGCUUGACAGCCACUGUAGUCCAUGGUUCGAGUGCUGGACAUGGAAGGCAAAAAUCAACUGUUUUGAUUGACUACAUGGAUGAAGUUAAUAUCCAGUUCUCUAAAUUCUGUUGAAAGUCAGGUGUCAAAUACUGAUGGUUACUACAUAUCUGCUGUCAAGAACAUUGAUUGCUGCAUGCCCAACACUGUCAAGUGGAUUGUCAAAUGUUGAGUGCAAAAUAAUAGCUUUGUUUAGAGACAGCAGUCUUUUCUGUUUUGUGUAUCUAUUGUAUAACACAGGAAGCUGCCUUAUACUAAGUGAAACCAUUGAUCCAGCUCAACAUUGUCUCCACUGACUGACUUUAGCUCUCCAAGGUUUCAGACAGGGGAUUUGACCAACCCUACUUAGAGAUGCCAGGGAUUGAAGUUGGGACCUUCUGGGAUCUUCUUCACAUGCUCUACUACUGAGGUAUACCCUCAUAUACAAACAUUACAAACAUUAAAUUGCUUAAGUGGACAUAUGAUGUUUAUGAAGCUAUUGAGAAAGAGUAUCACCUGAGGAAGAAAAACAUUUGAAGUGCGUUGAGAAAUCUGGGAUAUGUAGAAAUCAGUUAUUUAACAAAUCAAGAGGGAGAGGUUUUUUGCCCUUUUUUCAGUGUUGUGCUAUGUGGUAUAUGAUUCACCUUCUCGUUACAUGUGGCAUCAUAAAGUAAUGACUACAGCUUCAUGUCAGAUGGCAAAUACUGCCUGCUACUGCAAAAUUUUGCAAAGUCAACUGCUGAUGCUGAAGAGCAAAUACUUGCCAUGCACUCAUAGUUGGAGAAUAGUAACCAUCAAAAUUCAAAGUAAAUCUGAGGGGAUUUAUUUAUUAUUAUUAUUUUUGCAAAUUUGCUUCAACUCUCCCCCCACUAAAAUUUGGUGUUAGUUUGUGGACUCUGUGGGCUUAUCCUGCGCUCUUUCCAGGCACAGUCCACAGUCUUUAACAAUCCAUAUCCGUGAACCCCCUUUUUUUUCUCUGGAACUUUCCCUACAAAAACCCGUUCAAUCAGAGCAAACAGCAACCUGCAGAAAACUUGAAUUGAUGUUUGGUCCAAUUGAGCACUAAAGAGUAUGUUUUCACAGGGAAAGUUUCAGAAGGGAACAAAGGUUUGUGGACACGACUCUUUAAAGACUGUGGACUGUGCCUGGAAAGAGUGAGGGAAAAGGUAAGUAUGAAACACACAUACCUGACCCCAUACAAAAGCUGAAAUGGGAUCAGUAUCAACAUGCUGGAAAUUGUGCCAGUUUGAAGAAGGGAAAAUAUCACUGCUUCAGUUUUACCACACUACUAACGUGUGGAGGUUUUUUCCAUCAUAUCCUUAUUACCGUAUUUUUCGCACCAUAGGACGCACCGGCCCAUAGGACGCAUCAAGUUUUUUGGGGGGAAAAUAAAGGGAAAAAAAUUAUUUCCCCCCCCCAGGCGCUUGUGGGGCCGGCAGUGGGGAGAAGCGCUCUUCUCCCCGCAGUCCGCCUUCAGAUCAGGUCCGGGGACAGCGGGAAGACGCGCUGCGUCUCCCAGCUGUCCCCGGAGCUUGGGGGCAGGCAGCGGGGAGAAGCGCUCUUCUCCCUGCCGCCCGCCUUGAGAUCAGGUCCGGGGACAGCUGGGAGACGCGCUGCGUCUCCCAGCUGUCCCCGGAGCUUGCGGGGCAGGCAGCGGGAGAGCGCUCUUCUCCCGCCGCCCGCCUUCAGAUCAGGUCCGGGGACAGCGGGAAGCCGCGCUGCGUCUCCCAGCUGUCCCCGGAGCUUGGGGGCAGGCAGCGGGAGAGCGCUCUUCUCCCCGCCGCCCGCCUUCAGAUCAGGUCCGGGGACAGCGGGAAGACGCGCUGCGUCUCCCAGAAGUCCCCGUAGAGUCGGGGCAGGCAGCGGGGAGAAGCUCUCUUCUCCCAGCCGCCCGCAUGGAGAUCAUGUCCGGGGACAGCGGGAAGGCGCGCUGCGUCUCCCUGCUGUCCCCGGAGCUUGGGGGCAGGCAGCGGGGAGCGCUCUUCUCCCCGCCGCCCGCCUUCACAUCAGGUCCGGGGACAGCGGGAAGACGCGCUGCGUCUCCCAGCUGUCCCCGGAGCUGGGGCAGGCAGCGGGGAGCGCUCUUCUCCCCGCCGCCCGCCUUGAUAUCAAGUCCGGGGACAGCGGGAAGACGCGCUGCGUCUCCCAGCUGUCCCCGGAGCUUGCGGGGCCGGCGGCGGGGUCUCCCCGCCGUCAGCCUCCAAACCACUUCGGGAGACAGCGGGAUGGCGGCGUUCCGCCCCCUCUGUCCCCCGACCUUGUGGGGCUGGCGCUGGGGCUCUCCUGAAGCCUGGAGAGCGAGAGGGGUCGGUGCGCACCGACCCCACUCGCUCUCCAGGCUUCAGUGAAAGCCCGCAUUCGCACCAUAGGACGCACACACAUUUCCCCUUCAUUUUUGGCGGGGAAAAAGUGCGUCCUAUAGUGCGAAAAAUACGGUACUUUUCUUCCCAUUGCUUACUCCCUUAUUAGCUUUUCUUGGUGGAAAAAUGUCAGGUGAUUACAUGGUGAGACAUAUAGAACAAGUAAAUCUUUACUGGAUCACAUCUAGCUGUUAACAGGCUUUGUUCUGGAAGGUUUUUGGCUGCUCAAGUGUUUACAUCAGACACAGGUAUUCAGAACACAAACAAACAGGACUAAACUUAAAAAACCAGAUUUUAUGGCUUGCCAUCUGAUUGCCUCAGACCUCUGCCCUGACAUCAGACUCUGUGAUGUGGCAGCUGACACACACACAGAAUUCAGCCACGCCACAACUCUUAUUUGACUGCCAUGGAGUUUUACCAAGGCUUGAACUGGCCCCAGUAAACCUGAUCUCUUAAUGGUGAUUGAGACAAUAAACGUACUUUUACUCUUGCCAGAUUGACAAGAAGGUGUUUCAGCAAUCAAUGAAUUUGCCUUUUAAAAGUGAUUUUAAUAGACUUUUCAAAAAUAGCUUGCUAUUGGAAAAGUGACAGCCUAUUUCUCCUGAACAUUUCUUAACUAAAUGUGAGGACAUUUCAAAAAAGGGAAUGUAUGUCAAUAGCAACUGAAAGCUCAUUGGAACUAAGCCCCUAGAAACGCAGUUUCUACUGUACAUUGGAAUGUAUGCAGUGCAUGGAAAAUGCUACACUCAACCCCCUGCUAACAUACCUCAAAUGCUGGCAGCCCAUAUGUUAGCCACCCGGUGAGAAAUGAAAUGUUAGCAAUCUCCAAGAAUGGGCAUAUUUGAGUGUGUAGACUGUAACUGUAUGUACAUCCCAGACUAUUUAUUCUGUGAAAAUAGCAACCCUGUCAUGCUCCAAACCAGCCUGAAGGGAAACAUCUGGAAUUGAAGUCUGAUUGUGGCAGAAAAAACAAGAAGAGAUUAAAGGCAAAUGUGAGUUUCUGUACCCUUCAGGUAGAACAUACUAUUCUAUCUUAAAUAUACCAUAGUUUGUUUCAAGAAUCGCUAAACCCUCUACCAGAUGUAUGCCCCUGAAUCAUUGUGCUGCUGGAGAAACGCAACCACCUUUGGACUGAAAUGCAACUGUUCUGAGCUCUUUGCAAUCUUUUGCCAUUGCAUUGAAAGAGAAUUAAAAUAUUUUGUCAAACUGAAAUAAGAAGAAUCAUUUGUUACUGCUGAAUAUAAAUGUAUUUGCUUCUAAACUUCAGUUCAUGCCCCACACCACGUGUAGCAAAUACACUGCCCUCUAUAUGUUUUGGACAGCCCCAAAUAGCACAAUCAAUGGUCAAGGAUGAUGAGUGUUGUAGCCCACAACAUCUGGAGGGCACCAUGUUGGCUAUCCCUGCUGAAUAUCCUUCAAUGGGACAGUUAGGCCACUUUAGUCUUCUGUAUUUCUAUAGUGGCUCUGUCCAAGUGCUCUAUAAACUUGCAUGAAUUCCCCCCCUCAGCAACAGUUGCCAUUAAGUGGUGCAUGAAGCAUACAUUCUGAGCUAAUUUGAAAUAGAGACAAUCCUGUUUAUUCAUUAUGUUUGCAUCUUAAGAAUAUACAAACCAGAAAGAAUGUAACUCUUCUGACUUCCUCUACCAGCGAUGUUUUACCAAGAGCAGAUUUUUCUGUUAUUUCUGUUUAGUCUUCAAAAUCCAUACUCGAUGAAAUCCAUGGCAGUAUUUAAGUGGUUUUGGCAUGGCAAGUAUGUUAUGUUAGGUUUCCCUCUUGAAUAACCUCAGUUAAAGUAGAUCAGAACCCCAGAAGAAAUUUUCAUUUAGUUUUUGUGUUCCUUUUAGGGCUUAAUUUUUGUAACAGUUCUUCAAACCAUGUGGGUCUUACUCACACCUGACAGUUUCUGCAUUGGAACAUAAAUUAAAAGCUUUCAGACCAGUGCCACUGAUCCGAUGCAAAUUCUAAGGAAGUGUGGGGUAAAUGGAAGUGUCCAUAGGCACUCUUGACUCCUGGAAAUUUCCCUCACCACAGUUCAUAUCUUUGAUCCCUCAUGCGUUCAGUGCUAUACCUUGGCAUUUCUUUACCUCUCAGUUUACACCAAUAACAUUAUCAGCUUUGUUGAUAAUGCUUCAUGUGAUUCUAUGAACCUUCCCAUCAUAUCAAGAUCAGAUUCUUGUCUUCACAGUGUGCAAAAGUGUUUUCCAACUUCUGAUUAAAGCAAAAUGAUUAUUAGGAACCAGCAAUAGCAAUGAAUAAAGUGCAAAAUGCACAAAGUCCCUUUGUUUCCUUGGAGUUAGUUUUCUUCUCAGGAAUUCCAGAGUUAAAUGUUCAAAAUAUGAUUCAUAUGCUUCCCCUCCCCUCAGGAGAAAAAGGGAUCUGCUAGACAUAUGUUUUGAGAAAAGCAGGGGGAGAAAUGACGUGAGUCAGGAGCCUGGAAGGAAUAUUUGGAGGAGUGUUCUGUAUCCCUGAUUUUCUGUAAAAUUUACUGCCUUUGCUUAUUGCACAGACCAUUUUUUCCUGGAAUAUUGCUAGCUUUUGCCAUUCUAUUUUUUUUUUUUUUAGAACCUAAGCAGUAAACAAGAAUUUUGAAGGGGAAAGAAGCCAAGAAAGAGUCAGGCCUAUUAGUCACACAGCUGCACUUCCUGUCACAAACGACCCCUGUUGAGUAAUCAGUCCAAAAAUGCCUAUUUUCUGUUUUAUUUUUAUUCUGUUUGAAAUCUGCUAAAAUCUCAGCUUUGGAAGACAGAAUAAAAGAAUCCAGUUCACAGAAACACGGAUAAGAGCAGAUUAGUUGCCGGCUAAUUCAUUUUCCAAGUACCAUUUCCAAAGUUACUUCUAUACAGCCUAGGAGUGCUCCCAUAUCUCACUUUUCAAUAUGCAAUGUAGGGCAGAUUAGCUCACCAAGGUUCUAGAAAGGUCUGAGUAGACUCCCAUGUUUUUCUCAGAGGCAGAAUCUGCCUCAAGCCUCCCAAUAUUUCAGUUGUUUAGAGCAGAGACCUAAGAGGAAGGGAUUCCAUUUUCAGCUGUAGUUACUCUUUAAGACUCAUUGUUCCUUAAGGCAGCAGAAGCUCUGUGAGGAUACCAGGAGGAAUAAGUCUGUGUACUGAUUGCAAGUCCCUCUCUCCCCUCACACUGGCAAACCCAAGACAGUGGAGGUGUGGCAGACAGAAGCAUUAGGAAGGGUGAACCUAACUAGCAUGCAGAUUCACAUCUCCAUCCGUCUGUCAACCAUAAGAAAUGGGGUUUUCAUCUCACUCCUACUUAGUCUGAGUCCCAAACCAGGUGCUGUGGACACAGGCAAUACCCAGAACUCUUUGAGGAAAAGAAUGUGCUUUGAAUGUGUUUUGAGGGUGUGUAGACAGCCAAAGUCUCUUAACAUGUUGACACACUCACAAUCCCAGUUCUCAGCUGGUUUUCAGGAGCAUCAACUCUACCUAAACAGUGUCCGUAGUUCUCCCCUGAGGGCCCAUCCAUACUUAUAUUUGUUCUGCAUUUCUGGGCACAGGACCAGGCUUUCCAGGUCUGUGCCUGUCAGCGUUGUCCCCCACCCCCGGCGGUACUGUUUGCCGCUGAAUUGAAGCAAACAACAAUCUGCGGAACACCCAAAUUGCUGCUUGCUCUGAUUCAACAAUAAAAUCGGGUUUCCCUGGGGAAAGCAAUGGGCAGGGGGGAAGCACUAGGACUAGGAAAGCAUGGACCUGUGCCUAGAAAGUGCGGGGCAAAAGGUUCAUAUGGAUGAACCAUGACUCGGGGACCAUUUGAGGUAGCAACUGAGCAUGUGAAGAGUGGGGUCUAGACUAUGGUUACCAGACAUCAAUGUUUCCCGGGGACAGAUUCUGGAUUUACAAAUCUGUCCCCGGACAAAAUCCAUCCCCGGAAUGUCCCCGGAUUUCAUUUAAUGUCCCCAGAUUUAUAUUUUAAGUGUUAUAGGUUUAUUAGUAGGGAAUGAAUGUUGCGUGAUUGGUUCAACGGCACAAGACACAUCAUAUGGGGACUUCCGGUGAGGCAAAAUGCCGGGCGCCACAGAAUUGAGCAGCUCCUGAAGCCAGCCAGAGCUAACUGCACUACCAGGCUGGCUCCAGGCUGCUGAGACUGCUGCUGCCACCACCACUGGGGAGGGGGAACCAGGGAUGCCCAACGCGAUAACUGGGGGAACUGCUGACACCCCCAUGACCCAAAUCAAGCCGGGAGCGAGAGUGCCUGGCCGACUGCCCAGCGGUGCUCUGGGGCCAGGAAAACUCCAGAGCCGACGCAGGGAGAAGGAGGAGAGAAGGAGAAGAAGGAAAAGAGAGAAAGAGGAAGGAGAAGAAAGAGGGGAGCCCUGGUUUUGCCACGCCACUGCUGUUGCCGCCACUGCGGAGAGUUAGGAGAGCACUGGGAGGGCAAGGACACAUGGCCGACCCCAGGCCCAACCUGAGCCUACUUCAUGGCUGCUAGCGCUCCAAGAGAGCAGGCCGGGGCCCAGAGGAAGGCCACACGAUAGAGGAGACCAUAGAAGAGAUAUGACAUAUAUAUAUAUAUAUAUAUAUAUAUAUAUAUAUAUAUGUAUAUAAACUUUUUUUCUCUCUUUUCAAAAAGAAAAAAGUGUCCCUGGAUUCUGGUAAGCUUAGUCUAGACCAGUAGCACAAACUAAAGCUGCUGUUCUAAACACUACCGUAUUUUUUCCCCUAUAGGACGCACUCUUUCCCCUCCAAAAAUGAAGGGGAAAUGUGUGUGCGUCCUAUGGGGCGAAUGCAGGCUUUCGCUGAAGCCUGGAGAGCGAGGGGGGUCGGUGCACACCGACCCCGCUCACUCUCCAGGCUUCAGGAAGCUAGCCGUGGGAGACGCAGCUCUCCCACGGCUAGCGGAGAGCUUGCCUGCACCCAGAAGCUUGGGGCGCGCUGAGCUCAGCACGCCCCAAGCUUCGGGCUCCGCUAGCCGUGGGAGAGCUGCGCGAAGUCACGCGGCUCUCCCAUGGCUAGCGGAUAGCAGCCUGUUCUGGGGGCUGGGGUCAGGGGAAGCUCGGGCUUCCCCUGCCCCAGCCCCACACCUGGGGGGGGAAUAAUUUUUUUUUCUUUAUUUCCCCCACAAAAAAACUAGGUGUGUCCUAUGGGCCGGUGCGUCCUAUGGGGUGAAAAAUACGGUAGUUACUAAGAAAUAAGUCCCAUUGAAUACAGUGGGACCUACUUCAAAGUUAACAAGCAAUAGAAUUGUGCUCAUUAAGCUACUCUCACACAUCAAUACGUAUAUAACCAUCAUGCUCCAUAGCAUAGUAGCCAAUGUAAGUGAAUGCCUCUUUCUUCUCCACUAAGUGCUGUGCAUUAUGACACAAAUUAGUGGCUCUCUUAAACUGCAGUUUUGUGACUUUUUGUGUGUCCUGUUUUAGGCAUGUCUAAAUUAUAGGUGAUUAUGCUUAUUUCCUAACCUACUAACAUUUUUUUUAAUGUAAUGACUGCUUCAUUCCUUAUACCUGGUAGGCAUGGGAACUUUUGCUUGCAAGAAUUAUGUGCCAUUGCUGUGGUUGCUGAGCUGCAUACUUUAGAGUGCAUACAAAUAAGCAGAGUAGUGGGGGGUUUUGAGUGGUGGGGUUUUGGUUUGUGUCAUUUGCUGUUGAUUUCUGCAUGAACAGUCCAUACCUCAUCUGGUACUCUAUCCCUGUUUGCACUCUACUUCCUGGUAUUUUUGCAAGAGGAACAAGCUUUUGAAGGAUUGGCCUUGUCUCGACAAGAUCAUAUUGUUCCUCCUCUUGGGCAUUUGUCUUUACCUUCCCCUUCACUGUAACUAGCUAAUUUAUAUCAUUGUACCCCAUCACCUAGAAAUUAUUUUUUUGCUAUUGUGUGCAGAGCUGUAGCCAGGUGAUCUUGCGCCCCGGCAGAACCAUCCAGAUUGCGCCCCCUAGCCACGGACAGAUUAGCUCUUCUUUCUGCCUCUCCUCAAACCCACCCCCACCCACCCAUUCAAUUCCUCAUGCAGUUCAUCUUGUAAUGAAUUCUUUCACAGAAAAUCCAAUAUUUAAUUUAUUAUUUCUUAAUAAAAGGUUUCAGCAAAGAAAAUGACAUUUUGAUGUGAGUUGACAGGGUUUUUUUUAAUGUAAUUCAGUUGUAAAAACAAUACACAGAUAGGCCUAAAUGAAAUGUACAAACAAUAUCAUACUGAAUUGUUCCACAAUAAUAACUUUACAUUAUAAUACUAUAUGAUGUAAAAUGGCAUUACUUUUGCAAUAUCUAUGUUUAUUUGGUUAAUAUAAAGUAAGAAGACUAUUAUGAUUUGCAAGUCACAAGUUACAACUUCUUAUUCACAAGAGUUGUUAUUUGAAAAAAAUAUAUAAAAGUCAAGUUAGGCCAACUCUGGCUUUAAGUAGCAAUCUCCUUAAUGAAGUCUGAUGUGAUUAUAACUUUAUAUUUCUCCCUUUAAUUGAAUAUAAUUCAGUAAUAAUUUCUUCAAAGUCUAUUUUUUAUGUUAGUUCAUACUCGCCACCCCCAGCUACAGCCCUGAUUGUGUGGCAUUUUCAUCAGAAGCUAAUCCUGGCUAUAUUAAACAAGUGUAAUGACAGAGAUAGUGCUGAGACAAUAUGGGGCAACGGUGAAAUUAAAUGAGUGCUGCUCACUCAGAUUUGUACUUCAGAUUACCUUCCAUAGCAGCUUGAUGAUUUUAUCCUCAAGGUCAGUACAAUAUGCUUUACAGCACUUGACACUUCUUGCAAAUCUGCCAUAAAAGUGAUUACAUACAACAAAAUAAAAUGGAGUACAGGUAGCAACCAUUUUGCAUGGGGGUUCCACUCAUGGCCCCCACACGCUUUGGCAGAGUACGCAUAAGCCCGCUCUGCCCUGUUAUGUCCCCCAUUCUGCCCUCUUCUGGAUCCAAAAGGACUUGCAUGUCGGCAGUCGUGUCAAUUGGACGCAUGCAAAAUGGUCGCCACCUGUAAUACAACAAGCUUUCCCCUUUCAUAGCUAGUUCUUUGAGGAGGAAAGAAUCAUUUGUGGCUAGAGUCAUUCCAGGAGUGGGAAGUAAAAUGUUCAUAGCUCUGAGAAAAGAACGCCUAAGUUGCUCCAUUCCCCCCCCCCCGCAUUUUUUUAAAAAAGGAAAAAAGAAUGCCACAUGGCUCAACAACCACAACAUCAGCAAUGGCAAACCCCCUAUUACUGUCGAGUCAUAAUCCAGGUGGCCAGGCCACCUAUGAAGCAUGAUUAUGAGCCCAUUUCGGAACAUAGGUUAGACACUGACUUCUAUACCCCUUGCUGUGUUGCCCAGCUGGGUGACAGUGGAAGAAAAUGCCCUGUUUGGGUGGCUGUGUAAAUAACAGGCGAGUCAUUGCUGUUUACUCUCCAUAAUAACAGGGCCCAACAUAUUUCAUGAGUUUGGAUGUUUACAUUUGUAUGUAAAUUAGUGGUGAUAGCAUGUGAUUACCUUAAUUUGCGCAUAUUCUUCAAGUCUGACAUAUAAUGGUUCCAAACCACAGUAUACAAGCAAAUGCAAAUUACAGCUUUGACAAUGAGUGAAGUUCUGUAAGUGCAAGUCAGGUUUAUACACAGUCACACUGAAGUAGUUUUGAACAUUGUUUACAUGUAUUGAACACUGUGAUUUUAGUCUUCAGACACAUACAUGUAUAAAUGGUUCUAACAGAUGAGUUCCAUGUCCCUUGAGCUGAAACCUCUCUGAGUUAUGCUACUAUAUACUCUGCUGGUAAAUCCCAUCAAAGCUGAUUUUGCUCAUUUUUGUUCAUCCCCUUUUUGCAGUUUUGGAAUAUGAGCCCUUUGGCACAACUUUCUUUUUUACAAGGUAAAUUUCUUUUUUUGUAGAACACCUAUAGAUAUGAGUAAAAGAAUGUUGCAUAGAAACUAGUAAGAGGUGACUAUCAUGAACGCCAUAAUAUGUGCUUCGUAGCCUGAAGACAAUAGUUAUAAAGGUGGAGAGAGGAACAACUGCCAAAAACUAGGUGCCAAUACUACCCUGUAAUUCUGAUACAACUCAGAACAGAAUUAACAAAACAUUUAAGCCACCAAGGUUUUUAUUACCUUUUAAAACUUUCUGUUACCUACAUCCAUUAAGCUGUUAAGGAACUGGAGGUGAGAGGUUUUCGAUUCUUGUAGUGGCUCCUUCAUGCCUUGAGUCCUAUCUCAAGAAGAAUUCAUUUUGCCAAAAUUCCUGCACUCCAGCACUAAGGAUGCAUCUGCACAAGACUUUCUCCUGCUUCUGUUUGCUGCUACAGGAGGCGUAUUUCCCUGAAAACAGAAAAGGUUCGUUGUGACUUUUAUGAGAAAUGUUGUACCUUGAGUGGUGCUGCUGAUGUAGCCGGUGCUGCUUUUGCAAUUUUCCCCUUCUGUGACCCAAAUGGGUGGAGCAGCACUAUGUACCUGAUUCUGGGCGCAUGCGGUUGUUUGAUUUGAACAGAUCUGACAGCACAAGGAUCACGUCUUUCUGUCUUGCACCCAUCUGACUCUUUGUACUAAGAAGGCAAAGAUUAGGUCAUCAGCCUUAAGCACUUUUGCAUUCUUUCUCUCAGAGCUCACUUUUACUAAAAUGUCGCAAUGACUCCACAGCCUCUGAGGCCUUGCCCUCCUUUCUCACCUGUCCCACUCACCACAGAUUUCCUUUCAUUGAGCCGGUUCUCAUGUCACAGUAAGCCAAAUGGUGGUUUACUGGGACUACACAAGCAUGCAGGCUCCCAGAGAGCUGAGAGUUUAAACAUGAGUCCCAGUAAAAAAAGAGACAAAUAAACAAAUCAGCUAUAGGGGCCUCUAUGGGAACCCACACAUUUGAGUAGGCCUGGUAAGCAGGGAGCGAGGAAUCUUUGACCCUGCAAAUGUUGCUGAACUACAACUCCCAUCAGCUCCAGCCAGAAUAGCCCAUGGCCAAGAAUGAUGGAAAUUGUAGUUCAGCAACCUCUGGAGGGCCAAAGGUUCUGCACACCUGUUGUAAGCCAUAUUUUGACUUGCCAUGAUGUGCAAACCAGGCCGUAGUCAACUUGCAGUUUGCUAGCCCCAUCUCUGCCUUUCCUUCUGUUGCAAGAUCACACCUUCGGGUUCCUUCCUUCACCCAAGCUUCACUUUGUGAUAUAGCAGCAAGCAUUACCCAAGGCCUUAGUUACCCCAGCCCCACACAAAACCAUGCUUUCCUGUGUCAGUUUCUCUGAUGGCACAUUCUUCUUUAAAGCGCCUUUCUUUUUAGAUUCAGCAGCAGCCCUCAAAAGCAUACUUCUGAAAGGGUUAAUGCCACUGCAGUCAAAAUAAGGAGGCGGAACACAAUUUUUGAGUCUUAAUAAAACACAGGUGUUUUUACUGCAGAACUAAAAAAAAAAUUGCAGCAAGCAAGUAUUAACAAGAGCAGAAUGCUGUGGAAAAAUGUGCUAUUGAAUAAUGAGAAAGCAGUUUGGAAAAGCAGCAGCGGGCUGUGCUAGGGGUUUAUGAGGAAUGCAGCAGUCGCCGGCUGAGGUUUACCUUAAAGUUCACCAGAGGGUGGGGGGGCACAUAAAUCUUGCAUGAACUGUUCCUCUGACAACAUGAAUUUACCCUCCAGUGUAUUACACCAGGGAUUAACUCUUGACAUUCUUCUCACUGUGUGCAUGUCCUCUCUUUUUUCUCUUUUGCUUGCUGUUUGUUUUUGUUCCAUUCCCCCCCUCUUAUUUAAGACACAGAUUAUUUUUCCAACCUUUGCAUGUGGUAAAAACAUAAGAGAAAUGCACACAUGCAUAUUUAAGCAGAUGAUUUAAGAGCUCAAGUUCCCAAGGGUGGAACUAUCAGCAUAGAAAUACAUUCUUAUUCCUCUGUCAGUGUAAUCAACCUUCCCUGAAACAAAAAAACUUAAUAAGAUACAAAAAUUCAAAACUUUCUCAUCCCUCCCAAGCAAAAUAUAAUAGACCCAGACUGCACGUAAUGUGCGGGUUGCAGGAGAGGAGAUUGCAGCUGCUGCCUUCCUCUCCAGGUUCUCCUGCUGCUCAGUGCUGAGCCAUGGUUUGGCUUGAUCAGCAGGAAGUCCAAAGCCAGGUUCAAGCUGUAGACCAAGAACAAGCCUUUGUUCUAUAAUGGAAGGGGAAAGGCUAGGAGAGCCUACUUAUGCCCUUCCUUCUGCAACUGCUGCAAAACUGCCCUGUAGGGUUGGCCAGCUGCCUCCGGCCAGCUACUCACUGCCACAACCACUCCCUUUCACACUUAUAGCUCACAGAUGAGACAGAACUGUAAAAUACUAAAACCCAGGCUCCCAAGACAAUGCACUCUGUGUUUCCUAGCCAGAUUCCUCUCAGUUUACUCAGGACAACAGGGCUGGCAUCCAGCUGCCUCUCCCACCCUAGGAUUCCACGCAGCCUGCUCUUUUCUCGAUGAAACCUCCUUUUUUGCCCAGUGGCAUAUGCCCAGUGGCCAGGUAUGUGGGAUAUUAUCCGAACCGUAGUGUUUUCAAAACUACACUUCAGCAUCCAACAGCCAAAUUAUAUGAAUUUUUAUUAAUAAUAAAAAAGAGAAAUCAGAUUAAAAACAAACUGAUCUCUGUAGCUCACUCCUUAUGCUGACCUAGUUACUUAGAAUCACAGAAUUGUAGAGUUGGAAAGGACCCCAAGGACCAUCUAAUCCAGGGGACCUCAUCCUUUUAAAACGGGGCCGGUUCACUGUCCCUCAGACACUGUUGGGGGCUGGACAGGAAGUUUUGGAGAGUGGGCUGGCACGCUCGCUGGAGCUGGGCACCUCGGAAGCAGGGAGCCUGCAGGAGCUGGCCGAGUGUGGCGCGCACUGCCCAGUGCACCUCUUCAAAGAACACGGAGAUGGAGACAAGGACAAGCUGGUGCCUCACUGCAGCUGCCACCCCAUGCAGGCGUUUCCACCCCUCCGUCCUCCUGCUCCCCGGAGGUGAAGGCCGCCGCCUGGGCCACUUCGCCGCUGGCCUCAUUGUCCUCUACCACCAGUGGGAGCCCCACAGUGGCCCCAAGCCCUAGCCCAGACCGGCUGUCCUCCAGGAACGCCACUGCUGCCCCUCACGGGGAUGCAGAGCAGCAGCAGCCACAGGAGCAGCAGCAGGAGGAAGAGGCCGAGUGGCGGCGUCUCUGCCAAUCAAAUGCUGUGCCUGGUUUACCUCAGCGCGGCACGACGUUUGAUUGGCAGAGACGUUCCCGCACCAUGCUGAGAUAAACCAGGUGCAGCGUUUGAUUGGCAGAGACGCCACCACUCGGCCUCUUCCUUCCAUCGCCGUUGCCUGGAGUCUCGGCUUCAUGGCAGGUUCUUAAAUGGCCCGGCGGGCUGGAUUUAGAACCCUGGCGAGCCUGAUUCGGCCUGGGGGCUGUAGUUUGCCGAACCCAGAUCUAGUCCAACCCCAUGCAAUGCAGGAAUCUCAACUACAUCAUUAUGACAGAUGGCCAUCCAACAGACUGCUUCUCUUGCAUAAACAACCCACCCAUUUCCCCCAUGAAAACAGAGUCAAUCUUGCAUCCCUCUAGUAUAAAGCUCUGCCUUUAUUGUGCUAUAGUCAUGCAUUUGGCAAUAUCCUGCCCCACACUAGCUUCUGGAAUAGUUGUGUUAGUUUAAUAUAACAGUUUCCUUUUUAAAAAUGUGUUUAUUCUCACAAUGGGUUGGUUGUAUUAAUUAUAUAAAAGUUGCAACUGAAACACAUUCAGCAAUGUCUGCUGCCCAUAUAGGCAGAUUUGAGGGGGAUAUAUGAGUACAGUAGCAUUAAAAAAAAAAUCUCCGCCUGCCUGCAAAUUUCACUAAAGGACAAAAUAGAGCAGUGAUUUCCCAGGAACUGGAAGUGAAAGGAGGAACUGUUGGAGUGUUUGUUUCUGGUUAAACUGAAUGUGAUGUGGAAGUAUUUUUCCUAGCCUAAAAGCAGCGGCAGGGGAGGGAGUUGACUGAGGCUGCGGCAAUUGAGGGGGUGUUAACUCUUUCCUCUGUGCUGUUCCUCCAAAGUCAAUCUCUCUUCCCAGGUGGGGGACCAGUUAGGAUGGCCCAAUCCCAAGAGACUGAUAGAUUCCUGACUGCUCUGACAGGCUUUCCGGUGGAUAGAGCAGGUGAUCCUACUGAAGCCCUAGUCUCACUCCUAUGGACUCAUUCAAACACCGUAAAGCUCACUUUGCUCUGUCAUGGUCGAUGAAACAGACUGGAUGAGGGCUGGAGUGUAAGUGGCAUCAAUCUCCCUCUAGAACCAACCAAACAUGUGCUCAAGCUUAUAAUUGGGCCUGCCACAUGGCUGAGGGAACAGCAAAGAGAUCCUACUUUGCCGCCUCCGUUGCAUUGCAAUGUUGGAGUCACAGCAGCAUUCUGUUUGGAAAUAGUGUUAAAGGACAGAAUGCGAGUCUGUCCCUUCUGACAAUUUCAGUUUAUCCUGGAGUUACCCAACCUAACAGCAUCAUCAAGGAACUGCCCAGCAGAGUUGUUCCAUGUAGUUCAGAGGAGGCCAGACCUCUGGAGCACACAGUGUCUCCCUAGCUGGCUAAACACUUGGAAGACAAUGUUGCUUGGCCCCACAAUGGUUUAGAGACUGGUAUUGUGGCAGAGUCUGCUGACAUGUCCAACCCAACAUCAAACCCAGUGUUGUGGGAUUAAUUCCAGUUCAUGGGGCCUGACUGGAUACUACCUGAUCAAUGAUGGAUUACUGCAGGGCACUGUAUAUAAGGCUGUGUUGUUGGUUGUUCCGAGUUGGCAAGGGUCAUCUGAUGGCAACAAGAAACUGAGCUUUUGCUGUCCUUGACCCAGUCCUCUGGAAUGCUCAGCCAAUAGAGAUUCUUGUUUUAAUCUUUAAAUGUCUGCUGAAAACUUUUGUAUGCUGCCAGGCUUGUGCAAGCAAUUAAUAAUUCAGAUUUCUGUAAUAGUUGAUAUUUGAUUUUAAAUAUGUGCAUGGUUUUCAUUGCAUAUAUGUGUGGUUGUAAACCACUUUGAUUUUUUAAUGAAUAGUGAUAUAUAAAUAUUUUUAUAAAUCAAUAAUAAAUACAGAUACCUUUUUCUAUCCUGUGCCCAAUAGCAACUUGAGGAAACUUGGGGGAAAUUUAUCUGGGGAAACAGAAUGAUGGGAAGGGUUAACCCCUUUCUCUCAAUACAAGAACCCCAAUUUAACAAACACACAGUAGCAAAACGAAAGGCAUUAGAAGAUCCAAACAGGGAUCUCCCACUUCAUGUCUAGUUUGGCCUUCCUUUCAUGCAGUUCAGAAUAUUCUGUUUAUUUAACCAUAUAAAAGACAGUGUUUCAGCUCUGUGGAAAAUCAACAUGCUCCACAGUUCAGAGUAAAAAGAACUUUAGAGGAGCAAGUACUGCAGGCUCGUCUCCAGGAGCCUGCACAUCCUUGUGGUCUUGGUAUACCAUAGUUUGGCUUGCACACCAUGCAAACCAGGCUGAAAAUGGGUGGUGCAAACCACAGCUUUGCAAUAUUGCUGAGACUGCAGUGGAAAGAAAUUAAUAAUGAUUCCUCCUAGCAUUCUAAUACCUUUGGAUGCAAAUAAAGGAUAAGCCUUGCCAAGCAAUAUUUAUAUUACAUAAGGACACUACAAUAUAGGAUACAGAAGCAACUGUGAAAAUUAUCAGCAUGCCAAUCUACUCAUUAAAGUGAUUAUAAUCAAUGUUUCAAUGCUGGAAGGUGAGCAAUAACUGCAGAUCAGCAACAGGACUUGAGUCUACAGCAGUGUAAUAACUAAAAUAAAAAUCAGUACAAGUGUAUUGAUUCACAUACUCUCAUUUUUCUGGGUGUAGAAAUCUCAUUUCUGGUAAAAUGAGCAGGCUAAAGAAGAAGAAGAAGCCAUGUUCCAAAAUAUAUUAGAAAAUCCUGACCCAUUCUCAGUCAAUUCUGCACGAGUUGCACUUCUGAAGUUUUUAUUUGAAUUUUAACAGGUACCUCCUGAAAUUCUUCAAAAUCCCAGAAAAACUGUUUUUCCACUAUCAACUGUGCAACAAAAAAUUAAUAUGUGCAACAUGGCAGAACAAUUCCAUUUUGACAUACCUGAAAGCAUAUAGUCCGAAAAGCUACUUGUUUCUCAAGCAAAUGCAGUUUCAUAAAAAAAUUCACUUAGCAGGUUUGUUUUUCUUUAAAAAAAAAAGAAUAAUUCUGAAAUAGGCAAAACAAAUGUUUGGAUAGGCAGGAUUCUGAUGAAGUCCUUUGCCUUGUAGUGGGUGAAGAAUGACUGAGUUAAUUUAACCAGGAUUAAUGCAAGAUAAUCUUUCACUGUGUCACGGAGCUUCAGGCAAGUGGAUGAAUGGGUCUGAAUUACACAAUGUUGUUUGCUUGCUUUUCCCCUGGAAGAACUGUGGGAGACUUCAUAAACAUUUAAUUAACCGUUUUGUUGCAAUGUUUAACCAUGUUGUCUGAAUGCUGAUCCACAAAUAGCUGUGUUCCCUUAAAGCCACAAGACAGGAUCAUCAGCAAAGAGAAGACCAGGGGAUCCCAGGAGGGGCCUAGUAAAUACAAACAUUAAAAAAAAAAGAAGGCAAGGCAAAGGAAGAAUACAUUUCCUGGAAUACAGGACUCAAAGGUCACAAGGUCAGAGGUACUGAGCUUCUCAUGCAUAUCUGCCAUUCUCUCCAUGUCUGUGCUUGCUCUGAAGAGGGCAAAGAUUUAAGGGAAAGUUUUCUAAUUUCUCACCCUCCCUUAGUCCUUGCAUUCAAAAGUCUAUUGAAAGCCUCUUUUAAGUCAGAAUGGACACAAAGUGAACUGCCCCAAUGCAGAAGCACAAUCCGGGAUUUUAUGCAAGCAAGAAGUUUUGGGGGUUUUUUGGUCUGCUACCUUUUGCUGAACUCAUUUUCCAUGCAAUUGCAAGAUAGCUUUUGUUCUCAAAUUUUAAGUCAUGAUUCUUCUACAAGAACCUCAGGGGGAUCUGUGGUACUUACUGGGACAGUGAGGGAGUGUUGACCUCAAUCAUAGUUGUGGGCCCUGGAAAAGAGGGAGAAAGAAGAAACUGAGAUUAGAUAGUUAUCCCGACCCAAGAGAAGAGGACCACACAUUAUUCAAGGGUUACAGCAGUGAGACUCGCAGUUCCUUAUAUCAGGCGCAGACACCAUAAAGACCCUUCCUAAACUACCCAGGGGGUGCGAGUGGCGCUGUGGUCUAAACCACAGAGCCUAGGGCUUGCCGAUCAGAAGGUUGGUGGUUUGAAUCCCCGCAACGGGGUGAGAUCCCGUUGCUCGGUCCCAGCUCCUGCCAACCUAGCAGUUCGAAAGCAUGCCAAAAAGUGCAAGUAGAUAAAUAGGUACUGCUCCGGCGGGAAGGUAAAGGGUGUUUCCAUGCGCUGCUCUGGUUUCGCCAAAAGCAGCUUAACCAUGCUGGCCACAUGACCCGGAAAAAGUGUCUGUGGACAAACGUCGGCUCCCUCAGCCAGUAAAGUGAGAUGAGCAUCACAACCCCAGAGUCGUUCGCAACUGGACUUAACUGUCAGGCAUCCCUUUACCUUUACCUUUAAUCUACCCAGAGAGUGAAGACAUUGAACAGAAGUGAAUGAGCAGUGUCAGAUUUAGAGGGGUACGGGCAGUUCCCCAGCACAGGGUGCUGAGCCGAGGAGGCACAAAAUGAAGGAGAUCCAUAAUUGAGAAGACCCAUUUGAGGGUGCCAAAUUUUGGCCUCACUCAGGACACCAUAUUACCCCAAAUUACCAAAGUUCUCCCCUGGGGCAAGGUGUCCAUUUCCAGGUGCAGAGCAGGGAUAGGGAGCCUGUGGCCCUCUAAAUGUUCUUUAACUCCAGUUUUCAUAAGUCACAGCUAGCAUGGCCAAUUGCCAGGGAUGGUGGGAGUUGUGGUCCAGCAACAUCUGGGAGACCACAGAUACCUCUUGUUGCUGGGAGGAGAAACAGAUGAGCCACAGAAUGCAGCCUGCUAGGAAAGCUGCAUGAUUAUUGAGCAUGGCCACAGUGGCAUAAUUUUGGAGUAGAACUGAGAUGGGUGCAUGAUACCCCUGGCCCCUGGCUAUGUGAGAGCAGUUAAUGGGUGCACUCAAUGGCUGGAAAAGCGGAACAGAAAUUACACAACAGCUAUUUUCCAGACAGGAAAAAUUGACUACACGUAUCACAUGGCAUAUAAAAGUUACAUGUAGUCCUUGGGCUGCAAUCGAUCACCACUACCAAUAAAGUAAUCAGAUGACGUGUGCAUGCAUGCACGCACCCAGACACACCAGUCCUUGCCAAGAAGUCUGCAGUGUGAAGCACAGCAUCAUGUAACAUCAAGCAAGGGGCACUGGACCUGGGCCAUAGAAAGCAGAAUUCCGUGGGUAGUGAAAUCUCCCUGGCAGAUAACUUGUUCCAACAACUUCUAGAGCAUGACGGUGCCAUAUAGAAUGAUGCAAGCUCCCAUCCUCCUUAGGAAAUAAUGAAAUUCUUAAAGAAGCCAAGGUCCAUCUUUGUAUUCUCUUUGUAUUCUCUUGUCAAACCUCAGAUGAGGAAGGGUUGGAUCCUGGCAAUUGAUAAAGCAACUCCUUAGAAGGCUCAUGCACUUGGGUGGCAUCGCCCAAAUGGGUGGCAUCUUGGGUAGACAUAGGCUCGUUCCCCAGAUGAGGACCAGUUUGAAGACACUUGAUCUUGCCCGUUGAGCAAGCCUGAGAAUGACAGGACUACCCUCCAUGUGUCACUGGGAACAUAAGUUCACAGUAAGCAAAGUCCCACUUUUCCAGUUACACCUAGCUUGCCAGCUGUAGCCAUUCUUGGACCCGCAUGGCUUUCUCACAGGGAUCCGUGCCCUGGUAGCCUCCUGCCUUGACAAGUACAAUGACAGAUUAAACUGGGGGCUUUAAAACCCCGAAAGCUUGGGAAUAUAAAGUUAACCUCCCUCCAAGCAGUGAGGGUGGAAGGCUCACCCGUGCAAUAUCCCUUUUCUUUUCAUUUUAAAAAGCAUUAGCUUAGCUGGCAAAGAGAGAAAUGAACACUGGUGUUCGGGGGCAGAAAGUCAGUGGAAUGUCUGAAGUUUGAAGCAAAAAUUCUACACUAAUUCAACCAUGUUUAAUUGGCUUUCUCUGAAAGUUAGAUAAAUUUCUCACAAGGUAGGUUCCCCAUAUUGAAUUUCAUACUAAUGGGACACAGCCAUCUUGCCUUUACAAUGAAUACAGCUGGAUUGAGGUGGGAAAGCAAGAUAUUUAGAACUUGGGAGCUUCUGCUGUUGCAAUUGCUGCUCUGUCAUCUGAUGGAUGUAACAGUUAUCCGUUACAGUUGUACCUCGGAAGUCGAACAGAAUCUGUUCCGAAGUCCGUUCAACUUCCAAAACGUUCGACUUCCAAAGCAUGGCUUCUGAUUGGCUGCAGGAAGCUCCUGCAGCCAAUUGGAAGCCGCAGAAGCCUCGUCAGACGUUCAGCUUCCAAAAGAAUGUUUGAAAACCAGAACACUCACUUCCAGUUUUCAAUUGUUGAGUUGCUGUAACAUUUGACUCCCAAGGCAUUCGGGAACUGAGGUACAACUGCACUAUGAAUAUUCGUCAUUCUAAACUGUUAUUAGAAAGAAAACAUAUUCCAAACGGGGGAAACUAACAGUUCCUGGGUUCCAUCUCAGAGAGCGUUGUUUUUAGAAGAAAGUGAUUCCUUACAUUUAAAGCCCUGUAAGACUGAAAGUAGCCUGUUCCAAAUGUGUUAUAAUUUUCCCGAGUAUUCAUUUUGUUUUGUUUUUCGGGAGUAUUCGGCUUUAGGCAGCUUCUUUCAGGAAACAGCUUCUGGCACUUACAGGGUGUUUUCUUGCUCAUUCAGCCCUUAAUGCACUGGGUGGGUCUCUUGUUUCUUCUGCCUUCCAGGCAGCUUCCUCCUAAUGCUCCCAGGGCCUGGCUCAGAAUUGCAGAGGAUUACUCAGGCCAAUGGUGUUUGUGGCCUUCAAGACUGUGUGUCUUCAGGGGCCGAUAGAGAUAAGGGCAGCGGAGGAGGAGGCGGCGUGGGUGGAUAGCUAGUCACUGCAGCUGCCCAAAGGCUGAGGGGGAGAGACAUUCUUUUGAAUGCAUUCAGACACACUGCUAUUUCCUGCUUUGCUCUCAAAGUGCUCCACCUGCUUUUACUUAACCAUUUCCUGAUUUCUGCUCCUAGAAAUCCUCUGCUGGAGUAGCUGGUCUCUCUCAGAAGUAUUACUUAAAACUGGCAUGUCUGUGUGGGGCUUUUAAAUGGCAAGUGCUUGUUACCAGUUCAUCCAUCCAGGAGUAUGCCUCUUAAAUCCAAACUCUUCUUUAAUAUAACUUAGUUCAAAUGACUAGAAUUACAUUUACAGCUAGCAACCAUCUGUUUAUAUCUGUAUUUUCUGUGUGUUUUUUCCACAGCAUGCAGACUGUUGAAAAUAAUAUGUUGAAUCUCCACCGGGAUAGUUCAGUGGGUACAGCAUGAGACUCUUAAUUUCAGGGUUGUGGGUAUGAGCCCCACAUUGGACAAAAGAUUCCUGUAUUGCAGGGGGUUAGACUGGAUGGCCCCAGGGUCCCUUUCAACUUUAAUUUUCUAUGAUUCCUUGAACUUGUGCAAAGAAUUAAGGAAUAUAAAAGAGUAAAUUUCUCAACAGACUUUUGGAGGGGGAAAUAGCAUAAUUAAUCAGGAAGGAAAACCAUGCCAGAUUGUGGAAUAUUUACACCAUGGAAAAAAGACGUUUAUAACAAAGUGUUAUUAAACAUAAAAUAAUAUACUGUGCUGAAUGAUUCUUUUACUAAGGCAGUGAUCCUAAGCACAUGUACCAUAGGGCAAGGGUACCUCCAGGCAGGGCUUUGUGUUACAAAUGCAUCCUCAGAUGCAUUUUUAGUGUGUGAAUGACUGGCAUGUUAACUUCCACACAUUCUUUCCCCCCCAGUUGUGGAUAUUCAUUGCUGUUCAUCACUUACUGCCCACACAGUAGGUGGUGCUUGAAGGAACGUAUCCAUGCUGUGUAUUUUGCCCCUCCUCAAUACACUUGCCCAUUCUGGUCAUGCACACAGGUAUUUGUGUACUUGUGCAAGCACAUUAAAUAAAUAAAGACAAACAGAGAAAGACAUCAGAAGAGUGCAAAAGCAAAUGUUACCAGCCCUUAGUUAUCAAUCUUGCUUCACAAUUGGCAAAAUGGAGAUUUGUGCUUUGAAGGGGAGGGGAGCAGCAUCCAUCCCUUCCAAAAUUUCUCCAAUGAAAAUAGGGACAUCCUAAGGCAAAGUGGGACAUUCCGGGAUCAAAUCAGAAACUGGGACAGCUACUGUAAAUCCAGGACUGUCCCUGGAAAAUAGAGGCACUUGGAGGGUCUGAGCAUCCACUUUCAUUUGUUGUGGUUGUUGUUGUUGCCCACACCCCACAAUAUUGUACUAAUGACCUCUACACUAACAGUGACUAGAGAUGUAUAAAACUUAUUUUUACUUAAUGGAUUUUCCAUCUACAGGGAAAUCUGGAUUAAACUGAAAGGAAAGAAGGAAAUAAAGAGUAUGGACUGGCAUUUUGAUAAAGAUGACAUGGUGUGGGCGCUGUCAAGAGUUGUAGGCUUGACCUGUAAACUCCAGUCUAGCAAUACUCUCAUUGAACUUGGUCAAACUGACUUUUGUGUAAGCCUGAUUAGAAUUGUGCUUUAAGAAGGCAAAUUAGGCUGGGCCAUGGUGAAGCAUUUUUCUUUCUUAACAUAAAACACUUUUGAUAAUGUGUCAUUUUUUUCUUGUGUUUUAUUCAUACAUUUCUAAAUGGGGCCAGGUUUAAUAUUCAGAUAAUGUUAAUCCUCGUUCUAACAGGUAUUGGGCCAGGCUUGUUCCAGUGCGUACUGCAGAGCCUAAGCCCUGCCAAACCCUUGCAUUUUUGUGCAAGUAUGUUCCAGAUAAGAUAAACCAUGAGUACACAGAGCUCACGGAGGGCUGAGGGAACCUUUCAGAGCGGGCUUGCAACACUGUAUGAAAAGCUUUAUGAAUUAGAAAGAGCCACUAACACCUUUCCUUUUGUCUACUCUGUAUAUGCCACCUUGACCCUCAUCAUAUUGUAAAAAGGUAAAGGGACCCCUGACCAUUAGGUCCAGUCGUGACCGACUCUGGGGUUGCGGCGCUCAUCUCGCUUUAUUGGCCGAGGGAGCCAGCGUACAGCUUCCGGGUCAUGUGGCCAGCAUGACUAAACCACUUCUGGCGAACCAGAGCAGUGCACGGAAACGCCCUUUACCUUCCCGCUGGAGCGGUACCUAUUUAUCUACUUGCACUUUGACGUGCUUUCGAACUGCUAGGUUGGCAGGAGCAGGGACCGAGCAACGGGAGCUCACCCUGUCGCAGGGAUUCAAACCACCGACCUUCUGAUCGGCAAGUCCUAGGCUCUGUGGUUUAACCCACAGCGCCACCCGCGUCCCAGGGUUGCCAUAUUUCAAAAAGUAAAAACCAGGACACCCCGAAAAUGGUUGAGAUUCUUUUUAGGAAACCCCAAAGUUCUGGAGCUAUUUAUUUGUUUAUUUUUUACAAAGAUUGACUUGCCUAAGAUACAGGACUAAGCACCACAUUUCGGAAAUUUCCCCCGGACGUCAUUUACGCCUUUGAGACCUGGAUGUAUGGCAGCCCUAUCAUAUUGUCAAAGCAAGCAUCAAAAGACUCUGUUUUAUUUUCCAAGCAAGCAUCAAGACUAUUGGCUUCGGAAGCCAUUGUAGCCUAUGCUGGAGCUGAGCCAAAGGGGAAAAAAGUGCUGAAUCAUCUAGCACAGACAGUAUCUAAUGUCUCGUGAAUACCAUAUGCCCCAGUUCCCACAUGUUUCAUCUAACCAGAAAGCACAUGUCAUUUUCUCAUUGGAUCUAUCCACCUGUAUAUGGUUUUUCAUAAUGAUUUUCCACUUGGGUCCUCUUUAAGUCUUAUUAUGUUGCCCAAAUUCCAAAAUUUUAGACCAUUUAGUUUUCCAUACAGUACUGCCUCCCAACAUUUUGAUGGCUUGUGCACACAUUUAGAGUAUAUCCUGGCAAGUUUCCAUAUGAUUUGUACCCUGAAACAUUUGUGCAGUCCCCACUUUAUCUUGCACGUUCCUCUGGGUUUUCUUUACAUCCAAGCUUAUUAUAUUGGCACAAACCUUCUAUAUUAUGCACCAGUUUCUCCCAUUCAAGCCAUAGGCUAGUAGCUCUUUAUACAUCAACACACACACACCACCUCUCAGUGUAAACAGCAAGCAAGUCUGUCAGAGAUCAGAUGCUACAUAAUUCUCAGAAACUCCAGGAUUGAGAUACAUUAGGAAAAAACACUGACAGAGCAGUCUUUUUCUAUUCACAUGGGUGGGGAAAUUAGAAAGCUUUUUCUCUUAAAGUGAGUGCUGAACUGCUUAAGUGGCUGUGCUGCUCUGCUAAAGCCUUCACUCCUGCUCAUACUAUCAUUUGUGCAAUGUGGGAGUGAGGUCAUUGCAUACACAUAACCAAUGGUUAGGUCACAUGCAGUAUACUUUUAUUAUGACUCGGCCACCAAACAGCACGCAUCUCAGCAUCAGAGAAAUUUCUUAAUAAGUUUGGGGUUUUUAUGCCUCUGAGUUUGUUGCUGACUGUAACAGAGGAGAGGAAUGGGGUUGCAAAAAAAUUAAUUACGUAAAUAACCAGGUAAAGGUUUUGCAAGAUGUAGUUUAAUGGGCUCUAUUGAAGCGGGAUAAAUUUUCCCACUGGUCGUAGCUAGGGCAAUCAAACUGAGGCACAUGAAAAGGUCACCAAGUCCGUCUUAUUCUACAAUCUCAGAGUAGCCUCUUUAUUCCAUAGACAGAUAAAAGCAGAACCCACAGCAAAUGUUAACAUUCUGAUAGAGAUCUUGCUUACAAUAAUAAAUUACCAUUGGGUGACACCUAAUAGGUCAAGCAGUCCUGUGUUCUAUUUUUGUCUCUCAUUUCUCUCUCCCUGGCACAACCAGCUCAGGAAUCUUCUCCAGAGUUAAUCUGUUGUUGUUGUUGUUUUCGCAGUGGUGUUUAAAAACAAUGUGUUUUACAACUUUCCAGUGGGAAGGACAUUAAGCUCAUUGCUAAGGUUACUCCCAUUACGAUGUUUCGGCAAUAGGAAAAAGUCUUACUUCAGAACUCUUUAGUAGACCAGAAUUCUGAUCCCUCUUUUGGGUUAUAGUUGCCCUACAGCUAUCCCUACUUAGCAGUGGCAGUGCUAGCAAUAUGUCUGAAACAUUAGUUCUGAUACUUGAACAAGGCGAAAGCUUCAGGUUAGCUGCUAGACUCCAGGUACUUUGGUCAAUAACUAGUUAAUCUAGUAUGAUGAUCUCAUAGUCUUACUGGCUGGUGAUAUGGCUGAUAAUGCUGAGAGGACAGCAAAGAAGACAAGUGCUUCUCUUUUUAUUUUUAAACACACUUGCUCCCUUUCUUAUUGCAGAGUCCACAUGCUACCCUCUCCCCAACUUUCCAGUGGACACAGGGCUUCACUAUUAGAUUCACCACGGGCCCUGUGACUCUAUGCCUUUUCAUUUAAACAGCAUCUUUACCCAGCUUUAUUGACAUACUUCAGUGCUUUGUUCCUGAACAAUAGCGAUGAGCUCAUCUAGGUGCAUGUUGCCCUGUGGGGGGCCUUGGGGGAACUUUACUUUUCAGCACUACAAUGGAGCUUGUUUGAAUGAUCAGCUGAAGAAAUCCAGCAUGUUGCAGCACAUAUUUGCCUAGGUCUAUGUCACCUUGCAGUGUAAUUAUUAGUAGCAAACAUUUCUCUUUGGACUAAGCUGUCUUCCAAACAAAGAGAUGUAAUCUGCAGUCAUUCAUUAUCACCUGGAAUAUUUUUCUCCUGAUAAGAACUGAGUGCUUUUCCAGGUUGCUAUUCUGCCCUUAGCUGCCGAUAGCUGUGAGUGGAUGAUCUUAGACUUAGAGGGUACCUUUAGUACAGGCUUCAGCAUCUUCCUUCAAGGGAAGUUUGAGCAGUCUACCUUUCCUACUGCACCUCAGGCCAUGUACCGGCCAUGUUUGGAUAAUUCAGCUGAUCUGCUUCCUGUGCAAGAAAAGAACAAUUGCUUUCCUCCCUUGCCCACUCAAUACAGUGGUACCUCAGGUUAAGUACUUAAGUACUUCAUUCCGGAGGUCCGUUCUUAACCUGAAACUGUUCUUAACCUGAAGCGCCACUUUAGCUAAUGGGGCCUCGCGCUGCCGGAGCAUGAUUUUUGUUAUCAUCCUGAAGCAAAGUUCUUGACCCAAGAUACUAUUUCUACGUUAGCAGAGUCUGUAACCUGAAGCGUAUGUAACCCGAGUUACCACUGUAUGUCUGUCCCACUUAUGUUAUUAUUAUUGAUUAAAUUUGUAUACCACCUGUCAGGGAACUGACAUCGGAGCCAGAGGCGGAGGCAAGGCUCCCAAGCGAUGCAGGAGAAGGGCCCAGCAGGGAGAGAGGCAGCUCAUCAGCUGGGGAAGGAAAUCAGCGUAACACCAGGGACAAAGGGGGGCAGAUGGGGGAAUCGGCGAGGGGGCUCCAGGACUCCUCACCGGAGACCAGCGGGGAGAGCACGGGUCCUCCGCUACCCACACCCUCCCUGCGCAGAAGACUUCCGCGCAGGGAGAGUAGGAGGAGACUUGGCGUCAAACAGCUUUUAUGCUGGAAAAGGUUUAAGAAACACCCAUUGACGGAUUCUGCUAGCGACUGAAACAGCCACGAAGUGAAGGGCUGUCCAGGCGGAAAAGGUUUAACCAGGCAACCUAGCCAGGAGUGGCGGCAACUUACGCACGAGCAACCCCUAUAUUUAUUACACCACCCUUCAUGUGAAGAUAUGAGAACAGUUCACAAGAGAAGAAUACAAAGUGAGAAUACCAGGUACAUAAUAAAGCAAAAACAAAAACCAACCAAUAAACCCCCCCCCCACAAACAAAAAGUCAUAGAAUGUUAAUCAGCCUGGUUGAAAAGAAAUGUUUUUGCAUGGUGUUUAAAGAUAUGUAAUGAAGGCACAAGUCGAGCCUCCCUGGAGAGAACAUUCCAUUGGGGAGCCACCACAGAAAAGGCCCAUUCCAGCAUUGCCAUGCUACAGACCUCUCUUGGAGGAGGCACAUGAAGAAGGGCCUCAUAUAAUGAUUUUGUUUUGUUUUUUAAUAUUGUAAUUAUAUGUUGUGAACCACCCUGAGAUCUACGGGUAUAGGGCAGUAUACAAAUUCAUGAUGUUUAUGAUGAUGCUGUCUGGAUCAGUUCAUAUGGGGAGAGGUGGUCCUUGUGUUAUUGUGGUCCAGAGCUGUUUAAGGCUUUAUAGGUCACAACCAGCACUUUGAAAUAGACCCAGAAACUAAUCCUGAGCCAGGAUUGGUAUAAUAUGCUCAAAACAUGUUGUCCUGGUAAGCAACCUGAUGGCUGAAUUCUGCACAGCUAUAGUUUCUGAAACAUAUAACACAUAGCAGUAAUCUAACCUAGAGUUGGCACAUCAUGGACAACAGAAGUUAGGCUAUCCCUAUCCAGUUAAGAGAUGAAGCUGGGCCACCAGCCAAAGCUGAUGGAAGGCAUUCCACACCACUGAGGCCACCUGAGCCUCAAGCGACAGCAAAGAGCCCAGAAGUGCCCUAAAGUUGUGUACCCACUCCUUCAGAGGCAGUAUAAACCCAUCAAUAGCAAGCAACCUUUUGUCCAUCUGGUCUAGGGGACUGCCCACUAACAGUACCUCAGUUUUAUCAGGACAGAGCUUCAGUCUGUUGACUCUCAUUCAGUCCAUUACUGAGGCAAAUCAACGGUUCAACACAGUCACUGCCACACCUCCAGAUGUAAAGGAGAAGCAGAGCUAUGUCUUAUCAGCAUAUUGAUGACAAUGUACUCCAAUACUCCAGCCAAGUCCACCAUGCAUGAGUAUAACAUUUUAAUGGCAUUGUCAUGCAUAAAAGACAACAUGCAGACCAAGAUUGUGUGGUCAGUUCCCAGAUUAUCCAUCUGAGAUACCCAUCACACUGCUCCGACCUAUGUGCAUUAGAUUUAUGCACAUACAUGCUAUAAAAACCUGCUCAUAUGUCUGUCAGGACAACUGUGCCCAGUGGGUGGAGAAGGAUGUUGCAAUCUUCCACAUGGGAGAUGACCAGGGGAGAUUAUCAUCUAAACCAGGCCAGUAUUGUAAAAUUCAAGGUAGAUAAAAACCCUAUAAUACUGAACAUUGUACCAGGGCAGUUUGGCGAAAGGCUGCAAGAUAAAUUUCUUUAAACUCUCCUGCCUCCGUGCAACCUUAGUAAAUACUUUUGCCUUCAGAAAAUCUCCAAUACAGAGAUUGGAUAGAUUAGCAGAGAGGGCUGUUUGCCAUCAGCACAUAUUCUCUGGGAGCUGAGAUAUGUAGUGAACAUACCUGGGUCUACAUCCUUAGCUGAUAAAAAUCAGCAAAGUUUCAUCCAUUUCAACAGAGACGUGCCAGUUACCACCCACAAGUCUGCCUCAUGAACAGAGAAGUUGCUUAGAUCAUCAUCAGUGGGGAUAUCUAAAUUUUGGCUUGUUCCUCUUAAUCUCAGUGUCAUCGUUGUGGAAUUUAACCGCUUUUAAUACUAGAUGCCAUGGCUAAUGAAGAAGCUUGCACUUCUAAGCAUCCCCCUUUGCUUUGGCGCCUGGUGUGAGGUCAAUUAUAAUAAUAUAGUUUGACUUGCGUACUAUAGCAUAUGGGUUGCCAGUCAGUGGUGGCGCCUCUUUUUUAUGGAGUACCCUCCCCAGGGAGACAUGCCUGAUGCCAUCAUUAGCAAAAUUAUUCUUAAUCACACAGGCCUUUGGGUCUUAAUUUUAGCAGGUUGGGAUGGAGUUGGAUCUUUAUAUGUAUAUAUUAUUUGUGUAUUUGGGGCUGAUUUAUCAUUGGUUUCAAUGUUCAUUUUUAAAAGUUGCCUUCAUUUGGGGGGGGGGAGUGACUAAUAAAUAUAUUCAUCUUAUAUCAGGUUAUUACAAGUAUAGGUUGCCAAAAGUGUUGAAGAGAACAGCCAUGCAAAAUGGACAAAGUGUCUUGUUCAACACAGUUCUGGUUUUUCAUUUUCAUUUUAUUUGAUGCUAUUUCAGGUGAACUCCCUGCCAUGUGGUCUGGUGUUUUAAGCAUUUGGAGCAGUUGGUCAGCCUUUGCAAAAAUGAUAAUGCAUUGAUCAAAAGCAGAAGAUAGAUAAGGAAGCAUAUGGAAACUAGCUAACACAGGAAAAUUCAUUAUGUUGCAGUCUUAGAUAGUGCUGAUUUCUGAGUGGGCCAAGAAUCUAGUAUCUCUUUGUAGGCAGAAAUGCCAUCAUUCAAACUUCCUUUUAAAAAAACCCAGUUGUGCACAGUACAUCAUGUUGUCACUGAAACUGGUUUUAUUUCUUGUAUGUUUCAGAUCAAAAGGACCAGCCAUAUUGCGGUUGGGAAGGAACAAGUCCAGUGCUGCAAGCCAUAAAAGUGAGGAAAGACACCUUUAAAAAUGAACCUGAAAUGGCUUUAUCCAGUUUCCCCAGUGAGACUCCCUAGUACACAUCAGCAGUUACAAUAUGCAGGACUGCAAGCAACUGGAACAGGGAACACGUGCUUGAUAAGUGUAGAUACUAUUUCUUGGUCUGAAGCAACUGCUCCAUAUGAUGGCUGCUAGAUUUUUCUGAAUAGAUAACGAACUCUGGAGUCUGUAAUCUUAAAAUUCUCCUCAAUUAACAUUUGCAUAUUGGAAAGUAGUACACUCAACUUCCUUCUUCAGUUAAUAGUUGUGUGUUUUUCUGUACAUUUUAUAUUGAUCCCUAUCUCUUGUCUGAUGCAACAAAAGCUCAUCUACUGAGAUCUGAGAAGCUGCAGUGAACUUUGUAAUGCUUCAAAAUGUGUACGGCAUGAUUUUCAUAGCAGAUUACCAGUAAAAUCUAAAAGAUCAACAUGAAUCACCACUACUUUGUUUCCAUUCUCAAAGCACUAUACAAAUAUUAGCUAAUGUCAUUCAAUCUUGCUUUAUUAAAGGAUAUACCAAACUAAUAGGGAAAAAUGACAGAAUUUGCCCAUACGUGAGAGGAAGGAUAUAUUCACAUGGCUGUUUUGCAGAGGAACAUCCAGCCAAUGCAAGCCACACUCAGCUGUGAUGUCAUCCUGAAUCUGUCACCAGCAGAAAAAUGUGGACAUGAAGGGGAGACCCGUUUGGUGGCAAAG